AACCAGUUAAGCCCCUAAGUAAAUGGACAGGGCGAUAUGACUUUUACAUGCAUACCUCGGCUAUAAGGUUUUGUGAAGGAGAUCCAUCAACGGGUAAAGAGGCAAACAUAUAUAAAUCAAGGGCUCUCAUUUACGUGUGAGCCGGUGUCUGCAUCCAUUGCAGUGUCACCCUCCGAAAACAUGUUCAAAGUGACAGUUUGGCUUUCAUAAUUAAAUGCUGGGGAUUCUCUGUUUAUAUUUGUUACUCCGGUGAUGUGUGACGCUAACUGGUGUAUAAAAUGACGGACAUAUUCUGUAAAUUAUGUAAAUAUUACACUGCUGGUAUAUCUCAAAUCUACACACCUACAGCUUGUUCGUCCCAGUUCUAAGCCCUGCAUUUUACUGAUGGGGUAGUAUGGGGACCCUUACAUCGACACCACCAAGUGUCUCGCUGAGCAUUGUGGGAAAUAAAGCUUGCAAAUAUUUAUUUAGCUAUGGGGUUGUUGUGUUUCUUCAAACUGAUGUUUAACCCUGAUACUGAACAUAGAAAAGGUAGAUUCUCACUUGUGUCUUAAUAUUGAUAUUUUACCUUAACCCUUACUUCCCUUGCACCCACCUGAUGACAUACAGCAUUCCAUUCACUGAACUGGUUUAAAAUUUCAUUUGGAUUGGAAUAAGAUGUGAUUUUUGUCAUGCAAGGUUUAAAGUGUUUUAUUUUAAUGAUUGAAUUGAGAUUAUCGCUGUACAUUUCAUUAAAUCAUACGUGCCAGGAAUGCAGACAGGAUUCUGCGUGUCUGACAGCUGGAAGCCAUUUAUUUAAAUGUCCAUUUAGCACCAAAAGCUUAUUCGGCUCUAUCGGGACAAGAAACCUCGCCAAAAUGUUACAUUUCCUUGGACAGCUGAGACGUCUUACUUUCCAAUCGCAUGGCUUCUUUCUAAACUUAAACAUAUAUUUUUGUAUACAUUUUAUAAUUUUUUUCUAUUUUCAUUUAAAGGGACACACUAUGUAAGAUACUACCUCCAAGUCGUUAUGUGGUCAGGAUGCUUAGAGCUUCCUAGUGCUGCCUCAUUGUUUAAUAUCAAAACAUUUUAGGAACUCUUCUCGGCACACAGGCCCCCAUCUUGGCCACAUUGACAGAAUAGAAUUAACACUUUUUGUAUCCUCAAUAUACAAUUUCAUCCAAGUUGGGCAGCAACUGAUUAGCUGAGAGGGCUGGAACUGUAUGGGUUAUAAUGUUUACAAUGUCCCUUUUUAAAGCAUAUUAAAAAAUAAAAACAAAUCUUCAUUUUAUAUUUGCCUUACUUUUGCAAAACUAAUGUUCUUGGCCUGGAACUCCAGCUCGGAGGGGGUGCCCUGAGCAGAUCACUUUCUGUGCUGCUGUACUGUCCUGGCACGUCAGAAUUGUAAAAGGAGCUCUGGGAGUGAUCUGCUCCCACUGGAUGUGCAGACUACCUCACUGACCAUAACAAUAAUGUGAACACCAGAUUGUCAGAAAUCUUUCUUGAAAUUAUAUUCUUAAAAUGGAAAAUGCAACUUUCCUUCUCUGUCUGCAUUGCGGUGUUUGUGUUUGUCAUCAAGCAGGAUUAUUCACUUUUCUCACUUUCUACCCUUCUCUUUAAGGGUACAAACAUACUAAAAUAUGACGGUGUUAACAAAAAAAGUCAAAGGUAGUGGCAACAUCUGAUAAUUAUACUGUUUUCACUCUGUGAAAUCAUGGGUACAGCAAACCGCCUACCAAGAAGCGGAUUGUAUAAACGUGCCUCGUUACAUUGAGACAAGAGAUUUGUAAAAAUAAUAACUUGAUAGUUGGCACUCGACCAUAUUUCACAACUUAUAAAAAGUUUUAUUGUACAGUUUGAUAUAACUUUCAGGUCUAGUAUUUUGUCUUGAUCGACAUAUGAGCUUAGAGGAGCUACCAUUGAUACUCCCUUAACAAACAUGUUAAUUCCUUGACAAAAAUUGUUCAACGUCACAAAUUGUCUUGUAAUGCAAAUUAUUACUGUUAUGUAUGUACUAACAUGACUAUGUGGCUCAGCACGUCAAAAAUAAAGAAUUUAAAAAAUAAAAAGAGAAAUCAAAGUGAAUUUUGGGCCAAAUUAGCUGAACUAAAAGCAUAGCUGACUUUCAAAAAAAUUUCCAAUGUGGCCUUAAAUUAAAUUCACUUUGCAUGAUCACGUUGGUGAAAAUCCCUGAGAGUGUGAGUUUGCUAUUUUGACUGAUAACGUCCCAACUAUGCACUGUCUAAUGAGCUCUGUUUCUGUAACUGUGUGAUGCUCUAUGGGAUUUAUUUAGCUUUGCAAUUUUGUAUUUUUAGGAAAAUGGGCCCAAUUUGUAUUGCUAAAUUUGUUUGGCAGAGAAGAUUAGGAUUAGCCCUGGGCUAGUCUGAAAAAAGGCGAGACGUGACUGUGCUGCUUUUAAUGAGCCGUUGAAUUUCAAACAUUGAACACGCCACUGGAUUGAAUAAAACACUAUUUAGUAGAUAUAUCCCAUGAAAACAUUAAAAUCUCUAUUUUUAUAUGGGAGCUAUAGCUAGUAACAUCUUGCAAAAGCUACAGAUCUCUUAUCUGCAGCCUUUGCAAAACCUUCACCUUUUCCCAGCACAGACUCUCAGCCUCAACGAGAAGCCUCUGAUCCGCAAGCAAGCACCUGUCAUUACAGUUAGCUCUGUGGAGUUAACGGAAUCGGGAAGAUAACCUUAUGGGCCGUCAGACAGCCAGGAAAGUGUUUCUGCAAUUUCUAAAGGUUCUUAUUUCAAAUAGAAAUCUGCACCUCUUUUCUAAACGGCAAUUAAACAUGAAAAGCUCCUUACGCAUAACGCUCUUCAGAAAGCUGAAAUACUUUUGUGUGUGAAGUCGUCCUCUAAGGACUAAUACAAUUGCUCAACAUCAGAGCAAAUACUAAACCUAUGUAUUUGUGCGAGGAGUUUUACAAUAAUUUUUCUCUGGGGGAAGAAAAUGUCACUAAGUGCAUCCACACUUAACUUGGUGAAUCUGGGGGUAUUUGCCUUUGUUAUUGCCUGGAAUCGAGAUUCUAGCAGCCUACAAGUAGUACUGGCGUGGGAGAGACGGAGGCUCUUCUGGCACGGUACCAGACUGAUUGGAUCUCACAUACCUGCCCUCUCUUCUUUGGACUGAAGGGGUUUAUCCAGAUUCCAGGCUUUCCCAAACUCAGCCUCCCAACCCCCAGAUGUUGCUGAACUACAACUCCCAUAAUUCUAUGAAUGAAAUAGGCUGAGAAUCAUGGGAGUUGUAGUUCAGCAACAUCUGGAAGGACAGAAUUUGGGGAUGCCUGGCCUAUGCAGAGAUGGAAACGGGAGACUUGAGAGCAUUAGCCAUUGCUUCCUCAUUGUCCAGGUUCAAUAACAUGUUUUUUUAGAAUUCCUGUCUCCUAUAGCAGGACGGCAUCCUCCACAGAGUUACCGUGUGGUGGCAAAGAAACCUACUUUUGGGUUUGUGGGCACAGCUAUGGUGGGGCAUGUUGUAAUAUCUACUACCCAGCUGGAACCCUCUAUAGAGGCUGACUACUCGGAACUUAGCUUGUGGAUAUUGGGAGCUGGGCUUGGACUUGCCUUUGGAGAGACUUUGUGGAAUCUAGGUGCAAUGCUAAUGCAGGCCACAUUCAGCAAAAUCAGACAGAAUGGGGAUGGGAUGAGGCUAUCGCUGGCAGUGUGGUUUUUGAUUACUUAAUUUAGCUACUAUUUUCACAGUAUUUGUGUAUUCACAUGCAUCACUGCUCAGCUCAAUACUGUAUCUGUCAUGUAUAGAUAUAGGGAGAGAUAUAAUAGAUAAGUAAUAUUAGUCCAGUAGACAAGAUGCCAAAAUAACCAGUAUUGCUUCAGAGAUGGGGGGGGGGAGAAUCUUGAGAGUUAAAAAAAAAGAAAAAAAGGUAUCAAUGCAUACAACAAUACUCUGGUUGUUUUGGAUAUAUAUAUAUAUAUAUAUAUAUAUAUAGUUGAGCCCCCUCCGACUUACCAUUUUUUGCACUGAAGGGGCACUCUAAUCUUGAUAACUAUGCAGCUGCAGGGGACAUAGCCGACCUGGCACUAGGAUGGUAGCAUCAACCCGCAUUCCUAAUGUUAUAGUGUCCCUGGAUUUUUACUUCCAGCCUCUUUCCAUUACCAAGGUUCUCUGGGCGCUGCUUAGCUCCCCUCUCUAGUGACAUCACGGAGGAUGCAUGGCCUCCUCUGCCGAUGAUCCAAUCCAAUGUUCCUCUUAGAGAAGCAAGGGGGUCCUAAUGGGCAUGUGCUUUCAAGCUUUCACCAUAGAAAAGCUUUGAAUCAAUGCUUCCGAAGUAAUGUAGAUUGUUUACAGCCCCCUAUAGCGUGAGGACGUUCAAUGUCUGACAGCAGAGUUUUACUCCACUAAAAUCCAGGAAGCACCAGUUAGUGGCUGUCUGAGAGACCGCCAAUAGAGGAGGGAUUAGCUAAAAAAUUUUUUUAAAAAUCUACGGUGGUUCAUCCAAAACUGCACUGUUGUUCUUCACAGGGCUAAAAUGACAGAGCCAAGGCAACUAAAACACUUUUUAUUAAUGUCCCUUUUUUAAGCGGUUUUGAAAAACAAAACAAAGGAAAAAAAUGGUGAAUGUUGUUGGAUUACUGGUUAGGGAAACUAGUUUGUAAGACUGAUAGUGUAAACACUUAUAUAUCAUUAAAUAUCCAAAUACAAACUAGCUAUUAAAGUCGUUUGUAAAAGGGUUCUUGAAGUUGAUGAGGAGGAUCACAUCCCGUGUGUGAUGGCAUUGAUUGCACUUACUACAUGAAAUCACGUAAAGCAGUGUUUCUUAACCUUUUUUACAGAGAAUUACCCCUGCAGAUCUAAUUUUUUUCCUAAAUACUCCUGCCUUGAGAGAGUCAUUUCUAUUGAUUUUAAAUUCCAAAUAAAACACGUAGACACUGAUAUUUAGAUUAAUCCCAUAUUGAACUAGCCUGAUUAAAGGUAGUAAUGAAAAUGUAUUUUAUUAAUAUAAAUGACAUAAUGUGAAUAUUGUGUAUGAACUAUUAAUGUGAAGUAUAAAAGUCACAAAAUAUAAUACACAUAUAUUUGUUGCACACAGAGUACAUACUCACCGACAGACACUCUGAUUUGACACACAGUUACACAGAGGACACUGACAUACUCACUGAUUUAACACACACAGACAGAUGGCCUUACUGACACACACUCACAAAUUAUGUUUUUAUUAUUUUUAUGUCCACCAGCUUUCCUACCUUUGGGAGAGGUGGAGUGGAUCCUUAUUGUGGGUUCCCUGUGACUGCUGUCAUCUUUGUGCUCUUCCAGCACUGCUCUAUUGCGCACUGUAGUGAUGCCGGGGUAACGUCAUAACCCGGCUGCGCGAGGGAGCAGUGAUGGAAGAUCAUGAAAGGUACAGCUCCAUUCUCCCCCACCGGCCGCCUCUUGGCGUACCCCUUGCCUGUGGUGCACCUACACCCGGUUGAGAAACUAGGACGUAAAGCAAUACAUAGAUUUAGUGCGGUAUGAGUGUUACAAUUAAGUAGUGUGUAAUACUUUGUAACACACGCCACCACCCCCAAGUAUAAAAAGUGCCAGUAGUUCUAAUAAAAGGCUGUGCAGCAUGCAGCUUUUAAAUAUAUUGCUCCACUGCCCGAGGAGCCAGCAUGCGAUUAUGGUGAUUAUGGCCAAUCAUCUUCCAAGGAGUCUACAGUAAUGUAGGAACCCAACUCCAAAAAGAAAUGGGAAUAUGGGAUUGUUUCCCAGUGAAUUCAUAAUGGACCGUGUCCAAUACAUCUCAUAAUCUUGUGUUUACUGUGGGAGGAUGACAGAAGAUGUUGCAUUUAAGAUGCUAUUCUGCACGGUUCGCAUCCUAGGGGGGAUUAUGGGGAGAUGCUGUAGUAAAAGGUCUUGUAAUCUAAUAGCACUAUUAGAGUCUAGUUCUUGAAAACACGGUGUAAUGUCCCAUAGAUGUGUAAUAUUCGACCGAUUUCCAAUUUACUCUUUAAUAUACAUCUGGUAAUAUAACUUUCUCCACAAGCCACAGCAGGCCAUAACCACCAAACUAUAUCUAGAGGAUUUGAUGUUCGUGGCACUAUUAUCCACGAGACCAGAGUCAUCUUGGUCAAUGACUGCGUAUGAGCUGUGUGAUACCAUCAAUGACGCUGCCUGUUGCCCCAACUGUUUAAAUACGCAUGUGAGUACUAUAAUGAACUUGUCCUUUGCAGUGUUAUCUGAACAGCCUUUAUUAAUUAAAAUUAUCAACCCCCAACUUCAUUACAUCAAACCACAAACCUGCUAUAUUCGGUCAAGGAAACUGGAAUACACAAGGUUGGUUUUUAAACAAUGUGUCUCAAGACAAACUUGGUAGGUCAAGGAAGUACCUACAAACAUUUUACGAAAACUUUUCCUCUAAUUUGUUUUAAUUUUGUUGUCCUAAGAUUGUGCUGCCAGCAAAAAAAAAAGUAUUUACAAUAGGUCUAUUCUGCUCAAUAUACAAAUCUCUGAAUAGACCUGACUCUUCCUGUUCUCUGUAACAUGUCGACCAAAUCCUAGCAUGAUCAAAGUAUUCCCUACCAGAUUUGCAAUCCUAAUAAUGUCCUUGGGCUAAUGGAGACAGAACACCUUGUACUCGGAUUCCUUGUUUUAACAAACUGCUGUGUUGGAAGGACCUGUGAACUAUAUCUGCUGGUGUAAAAAUGGGUGGCCUCUUGCGAGAAGUGCCCUACAGCUGUGUUAAGGUGGAAUUGCAUUUAGAAGUCUUCCUUUUAAAAUGUUUGAACUUGACAGACAAACUUACUCCUGAGCUAAUACUGUGAUCAGGAAUAACGGUUUUCACUCUGGUAAGGACAUUCUCGUGUGAGCAUUGUGACAAUAUGUCUAUCUAUCCCACAGAGAGUCACCUUGGAACAUUGCAGUAUCCAGCCGAUUCAGAUAUACCAAACUGUGUUCAGAAUCCAUUAUAGAUGUCUUUGAAAAAUAUUAAUUUAUUUUUGUGUUCUCAGGUAGAAAUCUAAAAUUAGGAAGGUGAUCACCUUGCUCUAUAAAUGAGUAAAAGAGGUAAAUCAUACAGUCUUUUAUCCUAUGGGAGGAAAAACCUAACAUUAUAUGCAAACCAACCUGGAGCUAGUUCAGUAAUUUGGAUCCCCUUACCUGUUCUAAUUUGGGAUUAUAAAAGCCCAUCUCAAAGGCAGAGCAGAUAUGAUAAAUACAAGAAACGUGUGUAUCUUAGCAGUGAUUUUACUUAUAGGUUUACAUCAUCCACAUUCUGCUCACGAAAUCAUUUAAGAAGUGAAUCGUGUCAGGUGUUUUUUGUGGCUUUUUUAGAACGUUGGUAUAUAUUUAUACCUUGAAGCCCAGUUGUCCAUGCAUACUUUACAUUUUGGCAGUGGGAGGUUUAGGAUUUCACAAAUUUACUAUCUGACACUUUGGGAUCCUGUGUCUGGGUGGGUGGGGGUGGGAGAUGAAGGGGUGCACAGAACGAAGAGAAUCUCCAUGUGUGAUAAUUUGGCCACCAACUCCGACAUAACGUAAUGCAUCCUGUACAAGGAUUGGGCUCUGUGUCCUCAGGAGCAUGCACACCUAAAUUUAGCCAGAUAAUUACAGGAUGAAUUUCGUCUUGUGAUGUUUCAGCCAUACCUCGGGUCAGGAGGGUAACUACCUGAAACAGGAUCAUCGGUUCAAUAUUAGAAAGGCCUAAAAACUAUCUCAAAUGGUCUUGUUAGACAGGACAGGAGUGAGAUACUGAUUAGUUGGACAGGACUAUAAACAAACCACUAUGCAUACACUCUCUAUAUAGAUAGACUGAAAGAGACAAACAGAUUAGAUACAGGCAGAUCUAUAGUUAAAGAUUAGACAAACUAUAUAGAUUAUAGUCAGAACUAGACAACUGUAGACAUAGAGCUAGGCCAACAGAUCAAGAUCAGAGAUAGACAGAUUAGAUACAGAAUGAGAGAGAGGGAAUCAGGCAGACAUUUGAUACAUACAAGCUAUAUAGAUGGAUUUGAUAAACAUAGAGGUGCAAAGUUUGUUGGACAAAGAAUGAUAGUCCCCCUGAACGAUCGCCACAUACAGCUUUGUGGAUGUAGAUUGUUAGAGCUAUAUAUCGUAUCAUGUGUUCUGUGUUUGUGGUAAAGCUUGGUCUUUUCUAUCUCUGCAGCACCUGCGCUCCGUUUAAAGAUGGAAACGUUACGUAAAUAUUCAUCAAUAGGGCAGCUGGCUUACAUUGAGGCCAGGGAAGUCCGUAUACAGAAGACUGAAGUUCGGCACAUCCUUAAUCAGCAAACCUCGCACCAUGCAUUUAUUAGAGUGUGGGAGAUUCAAAUAUCCACCUUCAAGAUAUUGCAUUGAACGGUUUAAUAGUGAUCCUGAUUAAUUGGCUCAGAAAAACAUACAGGAACAGUAGCAUUAGUAAACACAAAAGACCAAUAAAGUGUUGUGGUGUUUUUUUUUUUUUUUUACAUCAAUGGACUACUCUGUGUCAUGGCUGCUAUUAUCCCUGGCAAGCAUUGGCGAGGAUCUAUAGUUAUCUUGAAAAUAAUCCAUCAUUAUAGCAGAUAAUUAAUACUAUUGUUCUAUAUCAUGAUAAAAGGAAAAACAGUUCCCACAAACAUAUAUACGGUUUUGAACACAAAAGGUAAAAUAUUAUAAAUUCUUGUCAUAUGAUGGAGAAUUAAAAAAAUUGGGGUUUAUGCCUGUUAACUGUACUUCCCUGUGUUUCUUAUUUAUUAUUCCAAAUCUAAGUUUAUAGUAACAAGCCAAAAGAAAUAAAAAAAAAAACAAUACAAAAGAAUAUAGGUUUCGGGAAUUCUGUUCUCCCGAAGGCAGGAAGGGGGGGUGCAUUGUUCUCUCUGUGCUAUAACUUGCAAAGUUGUUGUGGUGUUAGAGAGAUCAUUCAACCAUUUAAAGCCUAAUAAUGUUCCAAGCAUAUGGUAAUAUGAAAGGAUUUUUCUAACCUGUGGUCUUUAUAAGAUUAAAGAGAACACUAUAUAAUUAUUUGCUCAGGAUAUCCUCAGCACCACCAUUAGAACAGUUUAAGAUCGAUAUCAGCCACCCCCUCGACCCUUGAAAAGCUAAAUGUAAAAUAUGAGAGAUAUCCUGAGUAUUUAUAUGAUACAGGUUAUCCCCACGAUGCUGCAAAAUCCUGACCUUUCCAGAUUAGAUCCCCUAUUUUUAUGCAUUUGAGAAAAGGAUUUAGACUUUUUUUUUCUGUUCUGCUUACAUUUUGGUAAAAGGCAUUCUACGACGCAAAGAGAUACUUGACAUUUUAUCUCUAACAGAUUGGCAAUCAUCAAACAGCAAUAUUGCAUGGAAAUCUUUGGUGACUGAAAUAAAG